rnacentral:ribozyme from 1 species
CUGAAAAGACAAGCGCCUGAAAAGAAAAAAAGAAAAAAAAAAAGAAAGGCGAUCAUGACCGUUCUCACUUGCUCUCCUUCUUUUUUUGAUCACCUCUCUCUUUCUCUCUCAAAAACCGCAAAAAAUGUAU